rnacentral:piRNA from 1 species
UCUUAGUACUGUUAUGCAAAAUGUGGUGAC